rnacentral:misc_RNA from 1 species
UAAAAUAUUGAGCAAUUUUACGGUCCUUGAGGAGGUACCAUGAGGUACCAAAAAUUUAGUGUAAAAUUUGGUACCUCAUGGUACCAAAGUAUCAAGAGAUACUAAAUUUACAAUAGAAAAAGUGGUACCUCAUGGUACGUCCUCAAGGACCAUAGAAUUGCUCUAAAAUAUUACUUACGG